rnacentral:rRNA from 1 species
AGUGAAUAGAUACCCGGGUAGUCCACGCCCUAAACUAUGUCGACUAGUUGUUGGGGGAGUUAAAUCCCUUAGUAAACGCAGCUAAACGCGUGAAAGUCGACCGCCUGGGGAGUACGGUCGCAAGAUUAAAACUCAAAGGAAUUGACGGGGCCCGCACAAGCGGUGGAUGAUGUGGUUUAAUUCGAUGCAGCGCGAAAAACCUUACCUACCCUUGACAUGCCAGGAACCUCGCAGAGAUGUGAGGGUGCCCGAAAGGGAACCUGGACACAGGUGCUGCAUGGCUGUCGUCAGCUCGUGUCGUGAGAUGUUGGGUUAAGUCCCGCAACGAGCGCAACCCUUGCCAUUAGUUGCUACAUUCAGUUGAGCACUCUAAUGGGACUGCCGGUGACAAACCGGA